rnacentral:lncRNA from 10 species
GAUUUGUCAAUUAUUUGGCAGUUUUCUUGCUUGUCAAUGCAUUACAGUCUACUUCAUCCUUUUGAUUUAUUUUAGUUGAUGUUUAUCAAAUUAAUACAUGCACAUAAUCUGAAAACUAGCAUUGAAAACGCUAAAUAGCCAGGUGCAGUGGCUCAUGCCUGUUAAUCCUAGCACUUUGGAAGGCCAAAUUGGGUGGAUGGCUUGAGCUCAAGAGUUCGAGACUAGCCUGAGCAACAUGGCAAAACCCUGUCUCUACAAAAAAAUACAAAAAAUUAGCUGGGCAUGAUGGCUCACACCUGUAAUCCCAACUACUAGGGAGGUUGAGGUUGGGAGGAUUGCUUGAGCCCAGGAGGCUGAGGCUGCAGUGAGCCGUGUUCAUGCUACUGCACUCCAGCCUGGAUGACAAAGUGAGACCCUGUCUGGAAAGAAAAAAAAAAAAAAGGCUAAAUAAAAAACAAUGGUUCUCUGUCCCACGUGUCCUGUUUUCCUAAUCCUUUUCCUCAGAGACAACCUCUUUCUAGUCUUAGCUGUUUCUCCUGCCAUCAUAUACCUUCACAUUUCUAAAUAAUAGGCAUAUAUUGCUAUCAAUCAUCAAUUUUGGGCAUUACCUACUUAUCUUUUUUAUGGUAAAUCAGUUUGGUUCUCUCACUCUGCCAUCUCUCUGCUUUACACAUUUCUUCCCCACCCUUUCAAUGUAGUUACAUUGCAAUCUUUUUGUUAAAUCAGUGUUUGCAUUAUUGUGCCUAUGCAAAUAUUAUUCAAAGCUAAAAGUUGAAGUGUAUUGUGAUUUUCUUCCUUUUUUAAAAAAUAAACUGUUUUAGAAGUUUUAGAUUUACGGAAAAAAUGUGAAGGUAAUACAUAUAGAGUUCUCAUAUACCCUGCACCGUUUCUUCUAUCAACAUGUUAGUAUAGUACACCUGUUACUACUAAUAAAUAAAUACUGAAACAUUAUUAUUAGCUAAAGUCUGUUGUUUACUCAGAUUUCAUUUGUUUUUGCUUAAUGCAUUUUUUCUGUUCCAGGACCCCUUCCAGGAUACCACAUCCAGGAUACACUGAGUUGUCAUGACUCCUUCUGCUCUUGGUUGUGACAGUUUCUCAGGCUCUCCUUGUUUUCUAUUACCUUGCUAUUUUUCCCUCAGGUAAAACAUGCCUUGAUUUUUUUCAUGUGGUUGGUGCUUUUUUUUUAUUAUUGCUAAUUUUUCCCAUGUCUUCCCAUAAUAGUGUCUCAGUACAUUUUCCCAUAGACCACCCAUACUGGGUAAUCUAGCCAUUCUAAAUGUUUUCCUUUGAGCCCUCUCUCCUGGGGACUUCUCUAUGGGGCUGGUGCUUUCUGGACUUGCUGUAGUGUUAUCCUUGGACUCCUCUUGCUCUCAAAUUUGGAAUUGCCUUUACCAUUCUCCUGGCAUGUAUUCCUUAUAUCCUGAGACUCAGGCCUUCCUCUUUCUUGGUAUAUUUUCUUGUGUUGGUGAAGCAU